UGGGUAGUCCGCACGAGCGCACCUUACUUUUAGUUGCCACCAUUUAGUUGAGCACUCUAAAAGAACUGCCAGUGAUAAGCUGGAGGAAGGCGGGGAUGACGUCAAGUCCUCAUGGCCCUUACGUGUUGGGCUACACACGUGCUACAAUGGCACUUACAAUGAGAUGCUAAGAGGCGACUCCAAGCCAAUCUCAAAAAAGUGUCUCAGUUCGGAUUGUACUCUGCAACUCGAGUACAUGAAGCUGGAAUUGCUAGUAAUCGCGGAUCAGCGCGCCGCGGUGAAUACGUUCCCGGGUCUUGUACACACCGCCCGUCACACCAUGGAAGUUGGUUACACCUUAAGGCAAAGUGUAAAAUCUUUGACUACGGUACGAUCAGCGACUGGGGUGAGGUCGUAACAAGGUAGCCGUAGGGGAACCUGCGGCUGGAUCACCUCCUUUCU
rnacentral:rRNA from 1 species